GAACCGCUGCUGUGUUUAUGAUAUUGACGUGCAAGAGAAGAAACCUGAUGACGGCAGAAAUAUAUUACCUCGGGCCAUGCCCUACGGUCGCCCCGCUAUGAGGCUUGGCGUUAUCAACUUUCCCUAACGAGGGUUAUUGGAACACCACCGACCUGAACGUCACCGCUGCUCGCAGAAACCAGACCCAGAAGACGGAUCGCUUUCUUUCUCUCUCAAUUAAAUUCAAUUAAAUUCAAGAAGCUUUAUUAGCAUGACUGUUGUAGUGGUUACAGUAUUGCCAAAGCAUUGAAAAGACAUUUAUAUAAAUAUACAAAAAGAAAGAA